rnacentral:rRNA from 1 species
GGUUAAUAGGUUCGAGGUGGAAGCGUGGUGACACGUGGAGCUGACGAAUACUAAUCGAUCGAAGACUUAAUCAAUUU